CUAAUCAAAUUUGGUUUAGUUUCAAUCACUGGUGUCGAUUCUUCUACCUAUCGAACUUCAUCAAGCUCGACUUUAAAGACUAUUUGUUCCUUUACUAAGGAACUCUUUUUCCAAAAAGUAUGCCUUACUGCUGACAUAUACCAUUUGUUCAGCAGGAAGGUAAAAGUAAUAUCCUCUCAUUUUCUUGGAGUAUCCUAUAAAAUAACACUUAUUGGACCU
rnacentral:lncRNA from 1 species